rnacentral:rRNA from 1 species
AGCGAACGCUGGCGGCAGGCCUAACACAUGCAAGUCGAACGAACUCUUCGGAGUUAGUGGCGGACGGGUGAGUAACACGUGGGAACGUGCCUUUUUGUUCGGAAUAACUCAGGGAAACUUGUGCUAAUACCGAAUGUGCCCUUCGGGGGAAAGAUUUAUCGCCAUUAGAGCGGCCCGCGUCUGAUUAGCUAGUUGGUGAGGUAACGGCUCACCAAGGCGACGAUCAGUAGCUGGUCUGAGAGGAUGACCAGCCACACUGGGACUGAGACACGGCCCAGACUCCUACGGGAGGCAGCAGUGGGGAAUCUUGCGCAAUGGGCGAAAGCCUGACGCAGCCAUGCCGCGUGAAUGAUGAAAGUCUUAGGAUUGUAAAAUUCUUUCACCGGGGACGAUAAUGACGGUACCCGGAGAAGAAGCCCCGGCUAACUUCGUG